AUUAAGAAAACAAUGAAAUAAAAUCAUCGAAGACCAUAAUAUUUAUAAUCAGAUGUUCAUAUAUUUUUCAUUUCCUAAGCUAGUUAAUGAAGAAAAAGUAGUUGUUUUUCUAUAAAGAAAUUUUAAUGCAGUUAAAUUUUUAUUUCUUAGGGCACUUAUCUGUGUCAUUUCUGUUAAUGAAAAAUUUCUGUUCAUCACUCAGAGCCAUAAGUUGACAGGUUUUAGGCAAAGCUAAAACAAAAAGGAAUUUUUAAAUUUUGACUUUUCUUUAAAGAACAUUAAUAUUAGGAAUAAGAAAAUGACUUGAAUUAGUCUGUCUGAAUAAAACAAUUUUUCAAAGAUAUUAUUUUGAAACCUUUCCAGAACAGAUAAAUACCUUUUUUUGUUAUGUUUUUGUACUAAGGAUUCAUAAGAUUUUUUGAAAAAUUUCACUUUCUUAAUUGACAAUCAGUAUAUAAAAGAAAAAUAAAAUUCAUUUCUAUUUCCCAAAUUAUUGAAUUAAAUUUAAAAUUAGCUAUUUGCUUUGAAUAAAUUUUUCCUAUCAAAAAUAGCUUGAAAAUUUAAAUUUAGGCCAUCUUUUAUAAACGAUAAAGCAGAAUUUACAAGGUUUGAGUGUUAUUUUAUUUCUUACAGGUAGGUUAUGAAGUUUUUAAGCAUUCUCUAAAUUCACAACUUUAAUGAUGUAAAGUUGAAAUUAUACUGAACUACUUUAAAUUGACUUUAAAUCUAGGACAAGUUUUAUGUUGAUUAAAAUUUGGAAGUAAAGUUAAAAAUAUCAUAAAGUAAAAAGUUUAAGCUAAAAAUAUAACUGAAAAUAUCUAAAAAUGUUCAGCAAAAUUGUGUGUAAGUGUGUCUUCAUGGAUGUAUAUGUUUAUCUGAUUUACAAAUAUCCCCAAAGAGAUUGCAUUGAGAGGCAAAACUUUUUAAAAAGGAAACCAUAAAAUUUGACAAAAUAUCAUGAUCCAAUUUCUGCAAUAAUGUGUGGAAGCAUAUAGUAACAACACUGGAGUAAUUAUUAUCAUUAACACUGAUGAAUUAAUGAAAAUUGGAUUAGAAUUCAUAAGGAAACAAUUAAUCCCCAAACUUUGCAGUUGGCUUUUUUCAGUUUAGGCUUUUCUGAUUGCAGAUUCACAACAAUGUGAGUGAGAUUAUCAAUAACCUGAAUAACUUGAGAAUUUAGCUUAAAGCUAAGACAUCAGUCAACAUCCUAUUUGUUACUUUAAGUCAAACGAAAACUGAUAAAUUGCAGUUUUUCUCUUCUUUCCUAAUAACCUUGACUCAUUUCAAAUGUAACAAAUGCAUUUAUAAAGUUUACAUAUACCAAUCUACACACACAGAGGCAUACAAGCAUACACAUAGACACAAGCACGCACACAGACACACAUAGGCAUGAGCACACACACAUACACGAAGCUAAUUCAAUAAUGAUCAUCAUCAUUCUUCUUACGUUGUUACUGAAGUGUUAAAAGGUUUGUGAUAAGCUUAGGGGAAAUAUUGAAAAUAUCGUGAUACCUCUUUCAUAGAAGACUGACUGAACUAUUAUUUACUGCAUAGCAUACACCUUAAUAACAGGGGUGACAAUCUCUCUGCCUAAUAUCAAUCUCAUUAAAUGCCUGCACAUAAACCACCAUCAUUUUAUGUCUGUUUUUCUAACUCUGCUUGAGUUGGAAGAAGCACAGCAUCUUCAUUAACCAUCUCCAUCUUGAGAUCAACCUUCACCAUUUCUUCCAAAGUCUUCCUCUUCUGCAGAUUCCUUGUCAUUUCUUUGCCAACACACAGAGAUAUAAAUACUAUCAUCAUCAUCAUCUUUAUGUCUAUAUUUCCAUGUCUGUAUGAGUUUGAAGGGAUAUCUUAGAGUCAGUUCUUAUUCACAUUUACUACCCUCCUGCACAGUCUGGGCACAUCAUCUCAUUCAUAGGGCUCAUUGUUGACAUGGUUUCUAGAUAUCCCUCUUAGCACCAACUACUUUACAUCAUAUAGUGGGUGCAUUAUUAUCAUGGCAACAUCAUUAGAGAGAUUGAUUUGUCUUUCACAAGUUUACAGAGUCCUACCAUUUCUUGUCUUCAUUCACUUGCCAAUAAUUACUUUUAAUUGCACCAACAACAUAUAGGACUUGUCUUGUCCUUAGCAAGACUAAAGAUUCCUUUCUACCUAACACUAUUUCCAUUCACUGACCACAGGGUUGCUGCAUCCUUAGCUGUAGCAAUCCCUUACAGACAGAAGAGAGUGUGGUAAAAGAGAAACCCAAGUCAAAGUGAAUGGAGUGAGAAAAAAUAAAGGAAAAGAGAUAGUAAUGGACUGCUAUAUGACAUUUGUUGGUAAGGGGAUUGAAUAGAAAUAAGUGUGGUGUAAAUGAAGAGGGGGAGAUGAGGGAAAGAAGGUUAUAAGAUAGGGAAUGCAAAAAGUAAGGGACUGCUAAGAGAGAGUGUGAGGGAUGUCAACAUAGGUAUGAGAGGGGAAAAUGUGAGAAAGAACGAGAUCUAGCAAUAAAGAAGAGACAAUAUAGAAUGGACUGAAAAGGGAAAGAUUCAAUGCAAUGCCAUCCUCAUCAUAGAAGCAGGCAGAGAAAAUGAUGGUAGAGAGGCACAUUGAUAGAAGGGAUGUAUGAUGGAUGAGGGCAGGAAUGAUGAGUGAAAGAGAGAGGGAGAACAGUAUAUAAAGAUUUAAUAAAGACUUUGUGGUCAAGAGAAACUCAAAUGUAAAUAUUAUUCAUCUCAAUAUCCAUCACUAACAUCAUCUGAUUUUUUACAUCCAUUUUUCCAAGCAUGCAUUGUUUGGGUGGGUCUUCUCUAGUCAGCACUUUGCCAUGAGUCACAUUCAUUUGUCAUCUUCUCCAUGAUAAUCAGCCUCUUGAGAACAGUCUUCACCACUCCAUUUUAUGCCUUCCUUGUCUUUCCACAUCCACAGGCUCCAUCCAUUCGGAACAUUGAUACUUCUUUAUGCAACUGCCAUCCUUCAUAUUGUAUCGGAUGCCAUUACAAGUGCAGCUUUCUCUUUUGCAUAAGACAUCUGAUUCCUCUGAGUCCUCAACUCAUUUCCUCUCUGCUGUUCAUGGUCACUAACAAUGUACAUCCAGCAAAGUAGGCUUCCUCCAUUUUUUGUCUAACCUUCAAAAAUCUUUCACACUCAAAGCUUACAUAUUGUACUUAAUACAUCAUUCAAUCUGUACAUCAAAAAGAGAAAAACUUUUUGUUGCCAGCAGAGACAGUAACUCUCGGAAAUCCCGCACUCCUGUUCAUACUCUGACCACAACAAGCAUCACAGCUAAUUAGGUCACCUAGGUAAGAAAAGCGACUGACCAUUUCUAGGAAGCCCUCCAAGCAUUUCAAGGAGAUUAUGUGUACUCUGUCUACUUACUCUUCUGUAUAUCUGUCAUAAACAGAGUUUACCUUUUCUCUCAGUCUGCUUGCAACCCCACUACACCUUUUGCGCAUCCAUCAUUUACAAUGGAUAUACUGUAUAGAAAUGCUACUGAAUACUUCAAAUAUCAAGCACGACAACUUACACAAUAAGACACUGCUUGUCAUUGUUCCUCCUGAUACUUAACUCAUUUAAUUCAAAUCAUCACAAUUUUUCUUUCUUUUUUUUUUCUGAUUAGUUUGAAAUCAAACUUCAUGACAUCUUAUUUAGAGACAUUCAUAAAUUAAAAUAUUUCAUCUUGUAGAUUAAAAAUUGGGAAGAUACUAAUUUUGAAAUAAAUAGAGGAAAGGUAUCACCAAAUAGUUUAAUCCUUUUAUAAUUCUCUCUUAUUUCCACGGUAACAUUUCAACUAAUAAACUCUGGCCAAUUUUCAUGUUUACUUACAGCUUCAGAAAAACCAACAAUAAAAGCUUAUAGCAAUUCAAUAUUCAAUGUGGAUAGACAAUAAAAAUAACUGACACUUCAUAGAAGUAAACCAAAGACCUUUGCAGGUUCACAGAGAACAGCUGAGAUCAAUAGAUAUUCACUGUUUCAUUCUAUGAAAGAUGGUAAAAGCCUCAAUUUAUCAAGGUUUGAGAAUUAGGCACCAACCAUUUUUCUGAUGAUUGCACAUGGCUUAAUCAAAUGGAUAUGAGUAGAUUCUGUUGAUAUUGUUGAUUGAAAGUCAUGUUGCUGGGGACAACCAAAAUCCCACAGACAAUUGCAGUGAAGAUGGUUAGAGGCAAUAACAGUGGGAUCAGAAAAGUAUUUCAGAGUUACUAGCUAUAAAAGCUUCACCUGUUAAACAGUCCAAGAAAAUCUGGAUCUUGAUGACAUGUACAAGUGGUUAGAGGAGAGAACAAUAAUACAGCACACUUAUUUCUACCACUUAAAAGUAUUUAAAGUAAGACUGCAUUAAUGGUAGGGUUGUUUUCUUUCAUGGUAAGAAAAUAAGACUAGGAUAUUUUGUAGUCUGAGAUUAAUGAGGGAGAGACUGUUUCAGAGGAAUGAUUUCAAAGUCAAUAGCCUUCAACAUUUCAUUAGGUUCGAUAAUACAGGAAAGAUUAUCAAACAUUGAAUAAAAUAGUUUGGUCAAGGGAAUGUGAGCAUACUCUAUAAUUGUAAUUGUAUUUGGGUAGUGAUAUACACAGUAUUUUAACUUCUCUUUUAAUUCUCUCAAAUGAAUUACAUUUGUGAGGGUGAUAGCUUUCAAGAAUUGUAGGGACUGAUCUUUUAUCUCAUAUGGCACCGACACAACAUUUACUUACCUGUUCUAUGAUUGUUAGUUCACAGAAAGCAACAGAAUGUAAAUUAGGGAGAGUAUGACUGGGGAAAUUGUCUUCACUUUUCCCUUGGUUAUUUCACAUAGUUCAGGAUAGAAAUAUACUUGUUUGAAUUUAAUCAAAAUUUGCACAGUUAGGAAAUUUAAUUAUUUAUUUGUAGAAAGAAUAAAAUGAAUGAGACAUACAAAUUUGUGACGAACUGAGCUAUUUUAGAGAUAUGCAUGUAUCAUUUACUGACAUGUAUUCAUAGAUGCAGGUUAGUUUGUAAAGAAUAAGUUGAAAUUUAUUUAGAUUACAAUUAUUUGAGAUGGCAAAAGCCUCUCAAUGAUAAUGUUGACAAAUACUGUAUUUUACUCUACAAGAAUUUCACUACAGUUAUUGUAAUUGUGUGGAGGAAACUAACAAAUAUGAUCUACAGCAAAUCCAAAACCCUAGACUCUGGAAACAACUGAACCAUUUGACACAAUAAUACAAUACUGUAACUUAUGGUUUUACAAUUUUAAUUUGAAGAAGAUAAAUAUCCAAAUUGGAAAACCAUUUUACUGUAAGGUAUAGGAAUUUAAGCUUCAUUGCAGUAAACUAUGAUGAAUAAUUAAACCUAUAGGCCCACAACUAAGCAGGUAACUAGCUCUGGAUUAUAAAUUUACUCCUGCAGAAGAGCAGUAAAAACAUACAACAGCAAAUAUUACUAAUUAUUAUUGUCUUAUUGUUUUGUGGCUUGAAAUCACUGACAGAUAUUUCAUUUCAAAUAUUGGUUAUAUUGAUGAAUCUUAAUUAAAAUUGAUAGACUGAUAGCCAAAUAGAAAAGCAAUAGCAAACUAAUUAGAGAGAGAGGGAGAGAGGGAUUAGUUUCCAAAUAAAAUAUUUUAAAUAUAAACCUCAACAUAA